rnacentral:rRNA from 1 species
AUUGAACGCUGGCGGAAUGCUUUACACAUGCAAGUCGAACGGCAGCACGGACUUCGGUCUGGUGGCGAGUGGCGAACGGGUGAGUAAUGUAUCGGAACGUGCCCAGUCGUGGGGGAUAACGUAGUGAAAAUUACGCUAAUACCGCAUACGAUCUAUGGAUGAAAGCGGGGGAUCGCAAGACCUCGCGCGAUUGGGGCGGCCGAUAUCAGAUUAGGUAGUUGGUGGGGUAAAGGCCCACCAAGCCAACGAUCUGUAGCUGGUCUGAGAGGACGAGCAGCCACACUGGAACUGAGACACGGUCCACACUCCUACGGGAGGCAGAAGUGGGGAAUUUUGGACAAUGGGCGAAAGCCUGAUCCAGCCAUUCCGCGUGCAGGAUGAAGGCCCUCGGGUUGUAAACUGCUUUUGUACAGAACGAAAAGGUUUCUACUAAUACUAGGAGCUCAUGACGGUACUGUAAGAAUAAGCACCGGCUAACUACGUGCCAGCAGCCGCGGUAA